rnacentral:rRNA from 1 species
GAUGAACGCUGGCGGCGUGCCUAAUACAUGCAAGUCGAGCGAACGGACGAGAAGCUUGCUUCUCUGAUGUUAGCGGCGGACGGGGGAGUAACACGUGGAUAACCUACCUAUAAGACUGGGAUAACUUCGGGAAACCGUAGCUAAUACCGGAUAAUAUUUUGAACCGCAUGGUUCAACAGUGAAAGACGGUCUUGCUGUCACUUAUAGAUGGAUCCGCGCUGCAUUAGCUAGUUGGUAAGGUAACGGCUUACCAAGGCAACGAUGCAUAGCCGACCUGAGAGGGUGAUCGGCCACACUGGAACUGAGACACGGUCCAGACUCCUACGGGAGGCAGCAGUAGGGAAUCUUCCGCAAUGGGCGAAAGCCUGACGGAGCAACGCCGCGUGAGUGAUGAAGGUCUUCGGAUCUUAAAACUCUGUUAUUAGGGAAGAACAUAUGUGUAAGUAACUGUGCACAUCUUGACGGUACCUAAUCAGAAAGCCACGGCUAACUACGUG